rnacentral:rRNA from 1 species
AACGCGAAGAACCUUACCUACCCUUGACAUGCUCGGAACCUUCUUGAGAGAGAGGGGUGCCUUCGGGAACCGAGACACAGGUGCUGCAUGGCUGUCGUCAGCUCGUGUCGUGAGAUGUUGGGUUAAGUCCCGUAACGAGCGCAACCCUUAUCCUUAGUUGCCAACAGGUAGAGCUGGGAACUCUAGGGAGACUGCCGGUGAUAAGCCGGAGGAAGGCGGGGAUGACGUCAAGUCCUCAUGGCCCUUACGGGUAGGGCUACACACGUGUUACAAUGGGCAGUACAAAGGGAAGCGAAGCCGCGAGGUGGAGCGGAUCUUGUCAAAGCUGUUCGUAGUCCGGAUUGGAGUCUGCAACUCGACUCCAUGAAGUUGGAAUCGCUAGUAAUCGUGGAUCAGAACGCCACGGUGAAUACGUUCCCGGGCCUUGUACACACCGGUAUCUC